AAUGAACGCUGGCGGCAUGCCUAACACAUGCAAGUCGAGCGAAUGAAUGGGGCUUGCUCCUGGAUUCAUCGGCGGACGGGUGGGUAAUGCCUAGGAAUCUGCCUUGUCUUGGGGGAUAGCGUCCGGAAACGGGCUCUAAUCCCGCAUCCGUCCUUAUGUCGAAAUUGGGGGAUCUUGGGACCUCACGCUUUCUGAUGAGCCUAGGUCGGAUUAGCUAGUUGGUGGGGUAAAGGCCUAACGAGGCGACGAUCCGUAACUGGGCUGAGGGGAUGAUCCGACACACUGGAAGUGAGACACGGUCCAGACUCCUAGGGGAGGCAGCAGUGGGGAAUAUUGCGCGAUGGGCGAAAGCCUGAUCCAGCAAAGCCGCGUGAGUGAAGAAGGUCUUAGGAUUGUAAAGCAAUUUAAGUUGGGAGGAAGGGAAGUAAGUUAAUCCCUGGCUGUUUUGACGUUACCAACAGAAUAAGCACCGGCUAACUCCGUG
rnacentral:rRNA from 1 species